AGCGAACGCUGGCGGCGUGCUUAACACAUGCAAGUCAAACGGCCCUUGUAUAGCAAUAUGCGAGGGCAGUGGCGAACGGGUGAGUAACACGUGGGUAAUCUUCCCCCGAGUGAGGAAUAAGCUUGCGAAAGCGGGUCUAAUACCGCAUGACGCUUCGGGACUUAAGUCUUCGAAGUCAAAGCCGUAAGGCGCUUGGGGAUGAGCCUGCGUCCUAUUAGCUAGUUGGUAGGGUAAUGGCCUACCAAGGCGAUGAUGGGUAGCCGGCCUGAGAGGGUGAUCGGCCACACUGGGACUGAGACACGGCCCAGACUCCUACGGGAGGCAG
rnacentral:rRNA from 1 species